UAAGCAUAUCAAUAAGCGGAGGAAAAGAAACUAACAAGGAUUCCCCUAGUAACUGCGAGUGAAGCGGGAAAAGCUCAAAUUUAAAAUCUGGCGGUCUUUGGCCGUCCGAGUUGUAGUCUGGAGAAGUGCUUUCCGCGCUGGACYGUGUACAAGUCUCUUGGAACAGAGCGUCAUAGAGGGUGAGAAUCCCGUCUUUGACACGGACUACCAGUGCUUUGUGAUGCGCUCUCAAAGAGUCGAGUUGUUUGGGAAUGCAGCUCAAAAUGGGUGGUAAAUUCCAUCUAAAGCUAAAUAUUGGCGAGAGACCGAUAGCGAACAAGUACCGUGAGGGAAAGAUGAAAAGCACUUUGGAAAGAGAGUUAAACAGUACGUGAAAUUGCUGAAAGGGAAACGCUUGAAGUCAGUCGCGUUGGCCAGGACUCAGCCUUGCUUUUCGCUUGGUGCAUUUUCUGGUUGACGGGCCAGCAUCGAUUUUGACCACUGGAAAAAGGCUAGGGGAAUGUGGCACCUUCGGGUGUGUUAUAGCCCUUAGUCACAUACAGUGGUUGGGAUCGAGGACCGCAGCACGCCUUUAUGGCCGGGGUUCGCCCACGUUCGUGCUCAGGAUGCUGGCGUAAUGGCUUUAAACGACCCGUCUUGAAACACGGACCAAGGAGUCUAACAUGCCUGCGAGUGUUUGGGUGGAAAACCCGAGCGCGUAAUGAAAGUGAAAGUUGAGAUCCCUGUCGUGGGGAGCAUCGACGCCCGGACCUGAACUUCGGUGAUGGAUCUGCGGUAGAGCAUGUAUGUUGGGACCCGAAAGAUGGUGAACUAUGCCUGAAUAGGGUGAAGCCAGAGGAAACUCUGGUGGAGGCUCGUAGCGAUUCUGACGUGCAAAUCGAUCGUCAAAUUUGGGUAUAGGGGCGAAAGACUAAUCGAACCAUCUAGUAGCUGGUUCCUGCCGA
rnacentral:rRNA from 1 species